rnacentral:misc_RNA from 1 species
CGGGAGCCGCCUCCCGACACCCGAGCCCCGCCGGCGCCUCCCGCUCCCGGCUCCCGGCUCCUGGCUCCCUCCGCCUCCCCCGCCCCUCGCCCCGCCGCCGAAGAGGCCCCGCUCCCGGGUCGGACGCCUGGGUCUGCCGGGAAGAGCGAUGAGAGAGAUGCUGCCCCCACCCCCUUAGGCCCGAGGGAUCAGGAGCUAUGGGACCAGAGGCCCUGUCAUCUUUACUGCUGCUGCUCUUGGUGGCAAGUGGAGAUGCUGACAUGAAGGGACAUUUUGAUCCUGCCAAGUGCCGCUAUGCCCUGGGCAUGCAGGACCGGACCAUCCCAGACAGUGACAUCUCUGCUUCCAGCUCCUGGUCAGAUUCCACUGCCGCCCGCCACAGCAGGUUGGAGAGCAGUGACGGGGAUGGGGCCUGGUGCCCCGCAGGGUCGGUGUUUCCCAAGGAGGAGGAGUACUUGCAGGUGGAUCUACAACGACUGCACCUGGUGGCUCUGGUGGGCACCCAGGGACGGCAUGCCGGGGGCCUGGGCAAGGAGUUCUCCCGGAGCUACCGGCUGCGUUACUCCCGGGAUGGUCGCCGCUGGAUGGGCUGGAAGGACCGCUGGGGUCAGGAGGUGAUCUCAGGCAAUGAGGACCCUGAGGGAGUGGUGCUGAAGGACCUUGGGCCCCCCAUGGUUGCCCGACUGGUUCGCUUCUACCCCCGGGCUGACCGGGUCAUGAGCGUCUGUCUGCGGGUAGAGCUCUAUGGCUGCCUCUGGAGGGACUGCAGUAUGGGGGUCUGGGCCAGCUGGCAGAUGGUGUGGUGGGGCUGGAUGACUUUAGGAAGAGUCAGGAGCUGCGGGUCUGGCC